rfam:Homo sapiens chromosome 19, GRCh38 reference primary assembly.
GCUGGGUGUGGUGGUGCACGCUUGUAGUCCCAGCUACUCGGGAGGCUGAGGCAGGAGGAUAACUUGAGCCCAGGAGUUCCAGGCUGCAGUGAGCCGUGAUCCCAUCACUGCACUCCAGCCUAGGCAACAGAGUGAGACCCUGUCUAUA